rnacentral:rRNA from 1 species
UUCGUAAGCAACGCGAAGAACCUUACCAGGCCUUGACAUGCAGAGAACUUUCCAGAGAUGGAUUGGUGCCUUCGGGAACUCUGACACAGGUGCUGCAUGGCUGUCGUCAGCUCGUGUCGUGAGAUGUUGGGUUAAGUCCCGUAACGAGCGCAACCCUUGUCCUUAGUUACCAGCACGUUAUGGUGGGCACUCUAAGGAGGACUGCCGGUGACAAACCGGAGGAAGGUGGGGAUGACGUCAAGUCAUCACGGCCCUUACGGCCUGGGCUACACACGUGCUACAAUGGUCGGUACAAAGGGUUGCCAAGCCGCGAGGUGGAGCUAAUCCCAUAAAACCGAUCGUAGUCCGGAUCGCAGUCUGCAACUCGACUGCGUGAAGUCGGAAUCGCUAGUAAUCGUGAAUCAGAAUGUCACGGUGAAUACGUUCCCGGGCCUU